GUUGACAACCAUACCACCCAGAAUUCUGAACAUGUCCAGUGUCAUCUGAUUUGGAAGCUAAGCAAGCUUGGGCCUGCUUAGGACUUGGAUGGGAGACUACUUUGGAAUACCAAGUGUUGUAGGCU
ensembl:rRNA 5S_rRNA 5S ribosomal RNA